AACGAACGCUGGCGGCAUGCCUAACACAUGCAAGUCGAACGUGAUCCGGGGCUUGCUCCGGUGAAAGUGGCGGACGGGUGAGUAACGCGUGGGAACCUGCCCUUUGGUCGGGGAUAACUGCGGGAAACUGCGGCUAAUACCCGAUGUACCCGAGAGGGGAAAGAUUUAUUCGCCGAAGGAUGGGCCCGCGUCGGAUUAGGUAGUUGGUGGGGUAACGGCCUACCAAGCCUUCGAUCCGUAGCUGGUCUGAGAGGAUGAUCAGCCACACUGGGACUGAGAUACGGCCCAGACUCCUACGGGAGGCAGCAGUGGGGAAUAUUGGACAAUGGGCGCAAGCCUGAUCCAGCAAUGCCGCGUGAGUGAAGAAGGCCUUAGGGUUGUAAGACUCUUUCGGCGGGGACGAUGAUGACGGUACCCGCAGAAGAAGCCCCGG
rnacentral:rRNA from 1 species